rnacentral:rRNA from 1 species
UUAAGUUAAUAAGGGCGCACGGUGGAUGCCUUGGCACUAGAAGCCGAUGAAGGACGUGACUAACGACGAAAUGCUUUGGGGAGCUGUAAGUGAGCAAUGAUCCAGAGAUGUCCGAAUGGGGGAACCCGGCAGGUAAUGCCUGUCACUCAUUACUGUUAAGGUAAUGUAGAGGAAGACGCAGUGAACUGAAACAUCUAAGUAGCUGCAGGAAGAGAAAGCAAAAGCGAUUGCCUUAGUAGCGGCGAGCGAAACGGCAAGAGGGCAAACCGAAGAGUUUACUCUUCGGGGUUGUAGGACUGCAACGUGGACUUAAAGAUUAUAGAAGAACUACCUGGGAAGGUAGGCCAAAGAGAGUAAUAGCCUCGUAUUCGAAAUAGUCUUUAUACCUAGCAGUAUCCUGAGUACGGCGAGACACGAGAAAUCUCGUCGGAAUCUGGGAGGACCAUCUCCCAACCCUAAAUACUCUCUAGUGACCGAUAGUGAACCAGUACCGUGAGGGAAAGGUGAAAAGCACCCCGGGAGGGGAGUGAAAUAGAACCUGAAACCGUGUGCCUACAACAAGUUCGAGCCCGUUAAUGGGUGAGAGCGUGCCUUUUGUAGAAUGAACCGGCGAGUUACGAUAUGAUGCGAGGUUAAGUUGAAGAGACGGAGCCGUAGGGAAACCGAGUCUUAAUAGGGCGCAUUAGUAUCAUGUCGUAGACCCGAAACCAUGUGACCUACCCAUGAGCAGGUUGAAGGUGAGGUAAAACUCACUGGAGGACCGAACCAGGGCACGUUGAAAAGUGCUUGGAUGACUUGUGGGUAGCGGAGAAAUUCCAAACGAACUUGGAGAUAGCUGGUUCUCUCCGAAAUAGCUUUAGGGCUAGCGUCGACAUUAAGAUUCUUGGAGGUAGAGCACUGUUUGGGUGAGGGGUCCAUCCCGGAUUACCAAUCUCAGAUAAACUCCGAAUGCCAACGAGAUAUAAUCGGCAGUCAGACUGCGAGUGCUAAGAUCCGUAGUCGAAAGGGAAACAGCCCAGACCACCAGCUAAGGUCCCAAAAUAUAUGUUAAGUGGAAAAGGAUGUGGGGUUGCACAGACAACUAGGAUGUUAGCUUAGAAGCAGCUAUUCAUUCAAAGAGUGCGUAAUAGCUCACUAGUCGAGUGACCCUGCGCCGAAAAUGUACCGGGGCUAAAACAUAUUACCGAAGCUGUGGAUACCUUUAUAGGUAUGGUAGGAGAGCGUUCUAUGUGCGAAGAAGGUGUACCGUGAGGAGUGCUGGAGCGCAUAGAAGUGAGAAUGCCGGUAUGAGUAGCGAAAGACAGGUGAGAAUCCUGUCCACCGUAAGACUAAGGUUUCCAGGGGAAGGCUCGUCCGCCCUGGGUUAGUCGGGACCUAAGGAGAGACCGAAAGGUGUAUCCGAUGGACAACAGGUUGAUAUUCCUGUACUAGAGUAUAUAGUGAUGGAGGGACGCAGUAGGCUAACUAAACCAGACGAUUGGAAGUGUCUGGCCAAGCAGUGAGGUGUGAUAUGAGUCAAAUGCUUAUAUCUAUAACAUUGAGCUGUGAUGGGGAGCGAAGUUUAGUAGCGAAGUUAGUGAUGUCACACUGCCAAGAAAAGCUUCUAGCGUUAAUUAUACUCUACCCGUACCGCAAACCGACACAGGUAGUCGAGGCGAGUAGCCUCAGGUGAGCGAGAGAACUCUCGUUAAGGAACUCGGCAAAAUGGCCCCGUAACUUCGGGAGAAGGGGCGCCGGCGCGUACGUGAACCGACUCGCUCGGGGAGCGGAGGCCGGCCGCAGCGAAGAGGCCCAAGCGACUGUUUACCAAAAACACAGGACUCUGCAGAAGGCGAGAGCCGACGUAUAGGGUCUGACGCCUGCCCGGUGCCGGAAGGUCACGCGGAGCGGUCAGCCGAUCAGGCGAAGCCGCGAAGCCAAGCCCCGGUAAACGGCGGCCGUAACUAUAACGGUCCUAAGGUAGCGAAAUUCCUUGUCGGGUAAGUUCCGACCUGCACGAAAGGCGCAACGACUUGGGCGCUGUCUCGACCAUGGACCCGGUGAAAUUCCACUAGUCGUGAAGAUGCGACUUACCCGCGGAAGGACGGAAAGACCCCGUGAACCUUCACUGCAGCUUGGCAUUGGCCGCCAGCGCGCCGCGUAGAGGAUAGGCGGGAGGCUUCGAACCCCGGGCGCCAGCCCGGGGGGAGCCGACCUUGGAAUACCGCCCCCGGCGCGCCGGCGUCCUAACCCGAGGCCGUCACCCGGCUCGGGGACCGUGCCAGGCGGGUAGUUUGACUGGGGCGGUCGCCUCCCAAAAGGUAACGGAGGCGCGCGAAGGUCCGCUCGGGACGGUCGGCAACCGUCCUCAGAGAGUGCAAGAGCGCAAGCGGGCUUGACUGCGAGGCCUACACGCCGAGCAGGUGCGAAAGCAGGCUCUAGUGAUCCGGCGGCACCGCGUGGGCGGGCCGUCGCUCAACGGAUAAAAGGUACUCCGGGGAUAACAGGCUGAUCUUGCCCAAGAGUCCACAUCGACGGCAAGGUUUGGCACCUCGAUGUCGGCUCAUCGCAUCCUGGGGCUGGAGCAGGUCCCAAGGGUACGGCUGUUCGCCGUUUAAAGCGGUACGCGAGCUGGGUUCAGAACGUCGUGAGACAGUUCGGUCCCUAUC